rnacentral:rRNA from 1 species
ACGGGUGAGUAACGCGUAGGUAACCUGCCUGGUAGCGGGGGAUAACUAUUGGAAACGAUAGCUAAUACCGCAUAACAACAGUUGUUGCAUGACAGCUGUUUAAAAGGUGCAAAUGCACCGCUACCAGAUGGACCUGCGUUGUAUUAGCUAGUUGGUGAGGUAACGGCUCACCAAGGCGACGAUACAUAGCCGACCUGAGAGGGUGAUCGGCCACACUGGGACUGAGACACGGCCCAGACUCCUACGGGAGGCAGCAGUAGGGAAUCUUCGGCAAUGGGGGCAACCCUGACCGAGCAACGCCGCGUGAGUGAAGAAGGUUUUCGGAUCGUAAAGCUCUGUUGUAAGUCAAGAACGAGUGUGAGAGUGGAAGGUUCACACUGUGACGGUAGCUUACCAGAAAGGGACGGCUAACUACGUGCCAGCAGCCGCGGUAAUACGUAGGUGGCAAGCGUUGUCCGGAUUUAUUGGGCGUAAAGCGAGCGCAGGCGGUUUCUUAAGUCUGAUGUGAAAGCCCCCGGCUCAACCGGGGAGGGUCAUUGGAAACUGGGGAACUUGAGUGCAGAAGAGGAGAGUGGAAUUCCAUGUGUAGCGGUGAAAUGCGUAGAUAUAUGGAGGAACACCAGUGGCGAAGGCGACUCUCUGGUCUGUAACUGACGCUGAGGCUCGAAAGCGUGGGUAGCAAACAGGAUUAGAUACCCUGGUAGUCCACGCCGUAAC